rnacentral:lncRNA from 1 species
CCGGCGUCUUCCCGCAGCUCUUCCGGUGGGAGCGGCGGAGCUUGGCGCUGGGGUUGGCGUUGGGGUACUGGUACCCGCACACGUGGCAGAGGUGCCCCCCGCUCAGCGACUCCUUCCCUUCCAUAGACCUCUCCCCACAGCUCCCCUCUCCUGACCUCCUCGACUCCCCCCCCCCCCCCUCCUGCUCCUUUUUUAGACUCGGCGACGCCACCACGACGGGGGGGUUGGAGUAAA